rnacentral:lncRNA from 1 species
AGAAUGCUGAGCUUAAAGGCCCAUGCUGCCACAGCUGACUUUUUUUUUUUUUUUGACUGUUUGUGGUUGCUCUACUAUGUGGGUCCCAGAGAUAUACUUGAAGCCGUCAGACACCUUCUACCUGCUGAGCCACCUCAAAGGCUCUUAUUCUCUUUCUCUCUCUCUCUCUCUCUCUCUCUCUCUCUCUCUCUCUCUCUCCCCCUCCUCCCUCCCUCCUCUCCCUCUCUCUCUUUGAAAUUACCUCAUGUUUGUGCUCCUUGUGUGUGUGCAUGUGUCCGUGGCAUGUAUGCACAUGUGUCCGUGCAUGAGGUGUGGUGCAUGUGGAGGUCAGAGGAUACCGCGCAGGCCCAGAUCUCUGCUCCUACUGUGUUCAGUCACAGGGACUAGACUCUGGCUCUGAUGCUUGACAGUGAGCGCCUUUGCCUGCUGAGCCAUCCGGCCAACCCUGCUCUCUUCUUUGAAGUUGAGCUAUCACAUACUUUUAGUUUUGUCAGGUUUUUGACGAAUUCAUCCGUGCAUACAAUACUCAGUGAUCAUACUCACCUCGUUGCCCCCCCCCCACUCCUGCUGGCCCCUUCUCAUUCCUAACCAAUUCCCUCUGCUCCUGUGUCUUGACUUUUUAUCACCACAUACUUCCCAUUCUGUUCCUGGAUACAGUGCCACAGAGAGACCCCUUCACGUGUACACCAGGAGAC